rnacentral:rRNA from 1 species
UUUGGGGAAACUUGAACGGUUAGCGGCGGACGGGUGAGUAACACGUGGGUAACCCACCUGGGGGACCGGGAUAACGGCUCGAAAGGGCCGCUAAUACCGGAUACGCUCCCUGGGGCACAAGCCUCGGGGAGGAAAGGUCGCGCAAGCAGCCACUCCCAGACGGGCCCGCGGCCCAUUAGCUAGUUGGCGGGGUAACGGCCCACCAAGGCAAUGAUGGGUAGCCGGUCUGAGAGGAUGACCGGCCACACGGGGACUGAGACACGGCCCCGACUCCUACGGGAGGCAGCCGUGGGGAAUCUUCCGCAAUGGGCGAAAGCCUGACGCAGCAACGCCGCGUGAGUGAUGAAGGCCUUCGGG